rnacentral:rRNA from 1 species
AUGGUGGGGUUGCAGCCGCGCGCUGCUCGCGGCGGCCGGCGACAUCGCGAAUUCCAUCCUGGAGCUCCAUCUCCGUCGUUUUUGCCACGCACAACCAUGAAGCGCAGGGUCUGGCGUGGCUUCCUGCAUCGACAGCCGACGGUCGUUAAUGGUCCAGUGCCCUCCACCGGAGGAGCUGUUAGUGCUCGCGUAGGGGCGUUCUGGAGAGGAUUUUCUGCUCGGAUAGGAUCUAGAGAGGUUGGCGGCUUCGUCUUCCAAUUCCCACACUGCCGAGCGAACAGGAGCUGCGGCUGCUCCUGUGGUAUGCAUGCUAUCACCGUUUUUUGUGAUUGCUUCUGUUUUUCUCUCUAG